AUUGAACGCUGGCGGCAGGCCUAACACAUGCAAGUCGAACGAGUGGCGGACGGGUGAGUAAUGUCUGGGAAACUGCCCGAUGGAGGGGGAUAACUACUGGAAACGGUAGCUAAUACCGCAUACCAUCGGAUGUGCCCAGAUGGGAUUAGCUUGUAGGUGAGGUAACGGCUCACCUAGGCGACGAUCCCUAGCUGGUCUGAGAGGGUGAACAGCCAAGCUGGAAAUGAGACACGUUCCAGACUCCUACGUGAGGCAGCAGUGGGGAAGAUUGGACAGUGGGCGCAAGUCUGAUGCAGCCAUGCCGCGUGUAUGAAGAAGGCCUUCGGGUUGUAAAGUACUUGCAGCGGGGAGGCGUUACCCGAAGAAGAAGCACCGGCGAACGCCGUGCCAGCAGCCGCGGUAAGUC
rnacentral:rRNA from 1 species